AACGAACGCUGGCGGCGUGUUUAAGACAUGCAAGUCGAACGGGUUGAAGUUGUAGCAAUACCGCUUCAACCAGUGGCGCACGGGUGCGUAACACGUGAGUUACAUGCCCUGCAGUGGGGAAUAGCCCGCCGAAAGGCGGAUUAAUACCCCAUGGUCCCGCAAGGGUAAAGAUGGCGAAAGCUGCCGCUGCAGGAUUGGCUCGCGGCCUAUCAGCUAGUUGGCGGGGUAACGGCCCACCAAGGCGACGACGGGCACCUGGUCUGAGAGGAUGAUCAGGCACACUGGAACUGAGACACGGUCCAGACACCUACGGGUGGCAGCAGUCGAGAAUAAUUCACAAUGGGCGAAAGCCUGAUGGUGCAACGCCGCGUGGAGGAUGAAGGUCUUCGGAUUGUAAACUCCUGUCAUCGGGGAGUAAGACCUGGGCGUGAAUAGCGCACAGGGUUGAUAGUACCCGAAGAGGAAGGGACGGCUAACUUCGUGCCAGCAGCCGCCGUAACAC
rnacentral:rRNA from 1 species